rnacentral:rRNA from 1 species
UAGCGUAUAUUAAAGUUGUUGCAGUUAGAACGCUCGUAGUCGGAUUUCGGGGCGGGCCGACCGGUCUGCCGAUGGGUACGCACUGGUCGGCGCGUCCUUCCUUCCGGAGACCGUGCCUACUCUUAACUGAGCGGGGGCGGGAGACGGAACGUUUACUUUGAAAAAAUCAGAGUGUUUCAAGCAGGCAGCUCGCUCUUGCAUGGAUUAGCAUGGGAUAAUGAAAUAGGACUUUGGUGCUAUUUUGUUGGUUUCGAACACCGAAGUAAUGAUGAGAAGGGACAGUCAGGGGCAUUUGUAUUCGACCGAGAGAGGUGAAAUUCUCAGACCAGUCGAAGACAAACUACUGCGAAAGCAUCUG